CACCCCUUGCACUGGGGGGCAAAAUCUUAAUCAGAGAAGUCCUGAUUCUCCAAUGCUUGAAGCAGGAGUAGAGCACUGUGAGUUUUAGAAUUCAUUCAGCUCAGGAAAAAAAAAAAGGUUUCUAAAGCUAAGAAGUCUCUUCGCUGUAAUAUUUAGACUUUUGGCACUUAUUCAGCCUUUUCUUACAUGCACACACUGGAAAACAGGAAGCUGGAGAAAGCCUUGGAGAAGGUUGUAGAAAAAGCCGUAUAUUACAGGAAGCUCUUUUCUCUGUGCCCAGAGGAGACGCAGAAGGCACCAUGUGAACACGGUGGAUUCUUUACUGCUGAGCCACCGGGGAAGAUCCCAGACAGAGAUGCAGCCUUCCUCAAAAGUAUCCUCAGGACUACUGACAGAUGAUGGCUGAUGAAACAGAAGUUUUGGUCACAAUCAACGUGCUGCCUUGAUUUUCUUUUAAAAUUUCCUGUGCCAGCAAUCAAGGUGGAUUCUUUACCAGCUGAGCUACCAAGGAAGCCCAAUCUUUCCUAUUCCCUACCAAAUGAAAGGAUAUUUGGCAUCUUCUGGAAGAGGAAUCAAGGGCAUGUCAAACAUGGGCCAACAAACAUUGUUGGUGCAAGUUCCUGUGCCCAACACAUGGUGAGUCCAAACAAAGAGAAAGGUCGGAGUUUGGAGCAGAGACAGGUUUAUUGCAGGCCCUGCUGAGUGAUGCAGAAUUGGUGCUUUCAAACUGUGGUGCUGGAGAAGACUCUCGAGAGUCCCUUGGACUGCAAGGAGAUCAAACCAGUCCAUCCUAAAGGAAAUCAGUCCUGAAUAUUCAUUGGAAGAAAUGAUGCUGAAUCUGAAGCUCCAAUACUUUGGCCACCUGAUGAGAAGAGCUGACUCACUGAAAAGACCCUGAUGCUGGGAAAGAUUGAAGGCGGGAGGAGAAGGGGGCAACAGAGGAUGAGAUGACUGGAUGACAUCGUUGACUAAAUGGACACGAGUUUGAGCAAACUCCGGGAGAUAGUGAAGGACAAGGAAGCAUGGCGUGCUGCAGCCCUUGGGGUUGCAAAGAGUCAGACAUGACUGAGCGACUGAACAUCAAAAUUCAAGGAGACAAGGGGCUUCUGCCCUAAAAAGCCCUGAAUUUCCUGAAGGUUUUCCACAAAGAAUUCUUAAAAGCCAGGGGAUGGAAGGGAGUCACAGGGUGUGUGAUCAGCUCAUGCACAAUUCUCUGACUGGCUGAUGGUGAGGGAACCAGGUAGUAUCACAGGGGUGAAUAUUAUCACUUUAGGCUCCAGGAGGGCUGGGGCGAUGUGUUCAUGGUCAGUGGUUAAUAACUUCCAUUUGGUAGGGGCUUGUAUCUGUUGCUCAGUCAUGUCCGACUCUUUGCGACCCCAGUACAUGGAAUUCUCCAGGCCAGAAUACUGGAGUGGGUAGCCUUUCCCUUCUCCAGGAGAUUUUCUCAAACCAGGGACUGAACCCAGGUCUCCCACAUUACAGGCGAAUUCUUUACCAGGUGAGCCACAAUGGAAGCCUGAUCUGCAAAACAACUCAGUAAAUUUGCAUCAAAUACUGUUAUCUAUUCAAUAGGUAUUUGAGAGAGGAGCUAAAGCAGAGGCUAUGUGGGGAGGCCUGUCAUGGAAGGCCCUGUGGGGUCCUGCUAGGUUACAAGAUCUGGCUCUACUUCCAAUGCAGAGAUUGCGGCUUGGAAAAUAGUUUGUAGGGAGUGGAGUCAGUGUGUUGAGUCAUGAAAGAGUCACUGGGAAGAGGAUAUGAAGAACAUGGACACUAAGAGGAAGAGAGUUUGUGAAAUGCAAAACAGAACAGAAUGAUGAAAAGCAGGGCUGGGCAGGGGUCUAGCUAAAUUCUAAUCUUAGCUAAUCUCUAAGAGAGGGGGCUUUCCUAGUGGCCCAGUGACUAAGAAUCUGUCUUCCAAUACAGGGGGACAGAGAUUGGAUCCCUGAUCGGGGAACUAAGCUUCCACAUGCUAUGGGGGAGGCAACUAAGCCCAUGUGCCACAGCUAAGGCCAGGUAUAGCCAAAAAUAAAUAGAUAAAUAUUUUAAGAAAAUGAUAAAUA
ensembl:lncRNA